UACGAAGGGGGCUAGCGUUGUUCGGAAUUACUGGGCGUAAAGCGCGCGUAGGCGGCUUUGUAAGUUAGAGGUGAAAGCCCGGAGCUCAACUUCGGAAUUGCCUUUAAGACUGCAUCGCUUGAAUCAUGGAGAGGUCAGUGGAAUUCCGAGUGUAGAGGUGAAAUUCGUAGAUAUUCGGAAGAACACCAGUGGCGAAGGCGACUGACUGGACAUGUAUUGACGCUGAGGUGCGAAAGCGUGGGGAGCAAACAGG
rnacentral:rRNA from 1 species